rnacentral:rRNA from 1 species
GUAACACGUGGAUAACCUACCUAUAAGACUGGGAUAACUUCGGGAAACCGGAGCUAAUACCGGAUAAUAUAUUGAACCGCAUGGUUCAAUAGUGAAAGACGGUUUUGCUGUCACUUAUAGAUGGAUCCGCGCCGCAUUAGCUAGUUGGUAAGGUAACGGCUUACCAAGGCAACGAUGCGUAGCCGACCUGAGAGGGUGAUCGGCCACACUGGAACUGAGACACGGUCCAGACUCCUACGGGAGGCAGCAGUAGGGAAUCUUCCGCAAUGGGCGAAAGCCUGACGGAGCAACGCCGCGUGAGUGAUGAAGGUCUUCGGAUCGUAAAACUCUGUUAUUAGGGAAGAACAAAUGUGUAAGUAACUAUGCACGUCUUGACGGUACCUAAUCAGAAAGCCACGGCUAACUACGUGCCAGCAGCCGCGGUAAUACGUAGGUGGCAAGCGUUAUCCGGAAUUAUUGGGCGUAAAGCGCGCGUAGGCGGUUUUUUAAGUCUGAUGUGAAAGCCCACGGCUCAACCGUGGAGGGUCAUUGGAAACUGGAAAACUUGAGUGCAGAAGAGGAAAGUGGAAUUCCAUGUGUAGCGGU